rnacentral:rRNA from 1 species
AACGAACGCUGGCGGCAGGCCUAACACAUGCAAGUCGAGCGCACUCUUCGGAGUGAGCGGCGACGGGUUAGUAACGCGUGGGAACAUACCUUUCGGUAAGGAAUAGCCACUGGAAACGGUGAGUAAUACCUUAUACGCCCUUCGGGGGAAAGAGUUUAUCGCCGAGAGAUUGGCCCGCGUUAGAUUAGAUAGUUGGUGGGGUAACGGCCUACCAAGUCUACGAUCUAUAGCUGGUUUUAGAGGAUGAUCAGCAACACUGGGACUGAGACACGGCCCAGACUCCUACGGGAGGCAGCAGUGGGGAAUCUUGGACAAUGGGCGCAAGCCUGAUCCAGCCAUGCCGCGUGAGUGAUGAAGGCCUUAGGGUCGUAAAGCUCUUUCGCCAGAGAUGAUAAUGACAGUAUCUGGUAAAGAAACCCCGGCUAACUCCGUG